rnacentral:rRNA from 1 species
GAAUCGCUAGCUAAUCGCGGAUCAGCAUGCCGCGGUGAAUACGUUCCCGGGCCUUGUACACACCGCCCGUCACACCAUGGGAGUUUGUAACGCCCAAAGUCGGUGGCCUAACCUUUAUGGAGGGAGCCGCCUAAGGCGGGACAGAUGACUGGGGUGAAGUCGUAACAAGGUAGCCGUAGGAGAACCUGCGGCUGGAUCACCUCCUUU